GUCCAGGGGCGGGAAUCGAACCCACAACCUUCUGCUUACCGGGCAGGUGCCAUAACCACCAGGCUACCCUGGA